AACGGGGGGGCUGGCGAUGAUUCACCAUGGACUGGGCGUAUAGGGGUCGUAAGGGUGGUUUACUUAAUUGAAUGUAAAAUGCUAAAGGAAAAUUAGGCAGCUUGUUUAAUAUUGGUAAUGCUUGAGUGUAAUAGAGGUUUGCGGUAUUCUUGGUGGAGAAGGUAAAAUGGCAGCGAUAUCGAUGAAGACUAACAAAGGCGAAGGCAACAAACUAUAAGAUAUACUGACAUUGAGGACCUAAAGUAAUGGGGCGCAAACAGGG
rnacentral:rRNA from 1 species